AACGAACGCUGGCGGCAUGCCUAACACAUGCAAGUCGAACGAAGUCUUCGGACUUAGUGGCGCACGGGUGCGUAACGCGUGGGAAUCUGCCCUUGGGUGCGGAAUAACUUCUCGAAAGGGAUGCUAAUACCGCAUAAUGUCGUAAGACCAAAGAUUUAUCGCCCAAGGAUGAGCCCGCGUAAGAUUAGCUAGUUGGUGGGGUAAAAGCCUACCAAGGCGACGAUCUUUAGCUGGUCUGAGAGGAUGAUCAGCCACACUGGGACUGAGACACGGCCCAGACUCCUACGGGAGGCAGCAGUGGGGAAUAUUGGACAAUGGGCGAAAGCCUGAUCCAGCAAUGCCGCGUGAGUGAUGAAGGCCUUAGGGUUGUAAAGCUCUUUUACCCGAGAUGAUAAUGACAGUAUCGGGAGAAUAAGCUCCGGCUAACUCCGUGCCAGCAGCCGCGGUAAU
rnacentral:rRNA from 1 species